rnacentral:rRNA from 1 species
GGGUUGUGAGGUUAAGCGACUAAGCGUACACGGUGGAUGCCCUGGCAGUCAGAGGCGAUGAAGGACGUGCUAAUCUGCGAUAAGCGUCGGUAAGGUGAUAUGAACCGUUAUAACCGGCGAUUUCCGAAUGGGGAAACCCAGUGUGWUUCGWCACACUAUCAUUAACUGAAUCCAUAGGUUAAUGAGGCGAACCGGGGGAACUGAAACAUCUAAGUACCCCGAGGAAAAGAAAUCAACCGAGAUUCCCCCAGUAGCGGCGAGCGAACGGGGAGCAGCCCAGAGCCUGAAUCAGUGUGUGUGUUAGUGGAAGCGUCUGGAAAGGCGCGCGAUACAGGGUGACAGCCCCGUACACAAAAAUGCACAURCUGUGAGCUCGAUGAGUAGGGCGGGACACGUGGUAUCCUGUCUGAAUAUGGGGGGACCAUCCUCCAAGGCUAAAUACUCCUGACUGACCGAUAGUGAACCAGUACCGUGAGGGAAAGGCGAAAAGAACCCCGGCGAGGGGAGUGAAAAAGAACCUGAAACCGUGUACGUACAAGCAGUGGGAGCACGCUUAGGCGUGUGACUGCGUACCUUUUGUAUAAUGGGUCAGCGACUUAUAUUCUGUAGCAAGGUUAACCGAAUAGGGGAGCCGAAGGGAAACCGAGUCUUAACUGGGCGUUAAGUUGCAGGGUAUAGACCCGAAACCCGGUGAUCUAGCCAUGGGCAGGUUGAAGGUUGGGUAACACUAACUGGAGGACCGAACCGACUAAUGUUGAAAAAUUAGCGGAUGACUUGUGGCUGGGGGUGAAAGGCCAAUCAAACCGGGAGAUAGCUGGUUCUCCCCGAAAGCUAUUUAGGUAGCGCCUCGUGAAUUCAUCUCCGGGGGUAGAGCACUGUUUCGGCAAGGGGGUCAUCCCGACUUACCAACCCGAUGCAAACUACGAAUACCGGAGAAUGUUAUCACGGGAGACACACGGCGGGUGCUAACGUCCGUCGUGAAGAGGGAAACAACCCAGACCGCCAGCUAAGGUCCCAAAGUCAUGGUUAAGUGGGAAACGAUGUGGGAAGGCCCAGACAGCCAGGAUGUUGGCUUAGAAGCAGCCAUCAUUUAAAGAAAGCGUAAUAGCUCACUGGUCGAGUCGGCCUGCGCGGAAGAUGUAACGGGGCUAAACCAUGCACCGAAGCUGCGGCAGCGACGCUKAUGCGUUGUUGGGUAGGGGAGCGUUCUGUAAGCCUGYGAAGGUGURCUGUGAGGYAUGCUGGAGGUAUCAGAAGUGCGAAUGCUGACAUAAGUAACGAUAAAGCGGGUGAAAAGCCCGCUCGCCGGAAGACCAAGGGUUCCUGUCCAACGUUAAUCGGGGCAGGGUGAGUCGACCCCUAAGGCGAGGCCGAAAGGCGUAGUCGAUGGGAAACAGGUUAAUAUUCCUGUACUUGGUGUUACUGCGAAGGGGGGACGGAGAAGGCUAUGUUGGCCGGGCGACGGUUGUCCCGGUUUAAGCGUGUAGGCUGGUUUUCCAGGCAAAUCCGGAAAAUCAAGGCUGAGGCGUGAURACGAGGCACUACGGUGCUGAAGCAACAAAUGCCCUGCUUCCAGGAAAAGCCUCUAAGCAUCAGGUAACAUCAAAUCGUACCCCAAACCGACACAGGUGGUCAGGUAGAGAAUACCAAGGCGCUUGAGAGAACUCGGGUGAAGGAACUAGGCAAAAUGGUGCCGUAACUUCGGGAGAAGGCACGCUGAUAUGUAGGUGAAGUCCCUCGCGGAUGGAGCUGAAAUCAGUCGAAGAUACCAGCUGGCUGCAACUGUUUAUUAAAAACACAGCACUGUGCAAACACGAAAGUGGACGUAUACGGUGUGACGCCUGCCCGGUGCCGGAAGGUUAAUUGAUGGGGUYAGCGCAAGCGAAGCUCUUGAUCGAAGCCCCGGUAAACGGCGGCCGUAACUAUAACGGUCCUAAGGUAGCGAAAUUCCUUGUCGGGUAAGUUCCGACCUGCACGAAUGGCGUAAUGAUGGCCAGGCUGUCUCCACCCGAGACUCAGUGAAAUUGAACUCGCUGUGAAGAUGCAGUGUACCCGCGGCAAGACGGAAAGACCCCGUGAACCUUUACUAUAGCUUGACACUGAACAUUGAGCCUUGAUGUGUAGGAUAGGUGGGAGGCUUUGAAGUGUGGACGCCAGUCUGCAUGGAGCCGACCUUGAAAUACCACCCUUUAAUGUUUGAUGUUCUAACGUGGACCCGUAAUCCGGGUUGCGGACAGUGUCUGGUGGGUAGUUUGACUGGGGCGGUCUCCUCCUAAAGAGUAACGGAGGAGCACGAAGGUUGGCUAAUCCUGGUCGGACAUCAGGAGGUUAGUGCAAUGGCAUAAGCCAGCUUGACUGCGAGCGUGACGGCGCGAGCAGGUGCGAAAGCAGGUCAUAGUGAUCCGGUGGUUCUGAAUGGAAGGGCCAUCGCUCAACGGAUAAAAGGUACUCCGGGGAUAACAGGCUGAUACCGCCCAAGAGUUCAUAUCGACGGCGGUGUUUGGCACCUCGAUGUCGGCUCAUCACAUCCUGGGGCUGAAGUAGGUCCCAAGGGUAUGGCUGUUCGCCAUUUAAAGUGGUACGCGAGCUGGGUUUAGAACGUCGUGAGACAGUUCGGUCCCUAUCUGCCGUGGGCGCUGGAGAAYUGAGGGGGGCUGCUCCUAGUACGAGAGGACCGGAGUGGACGCAUCACUGGUGUUCGGGUUGUCAUGCCAAUGGCACUGCCCGGUAGCUAAAUGCGGAAGAGAUAAGUGCUGAAAGCAUCUAAGCACGAAACUUGCCCCGAGAUGAGUUCUCCCUGACUCCUUGAGAGUCCUGAAGGAACGUUGAAGACGACGACGUUGAUAGGCCGGGUGUGUAAGCGCAGCGAUGCGUUGAGCUAACCGGUACUAAUGAACCGUGAGGCUUAACCUUACAACGCCGAAG